rnacentral:rRNA from 1 species
CACGUAGGUGGCGAGCGUUAUCCGGAUUUAUUGGGCGUAAAGCGUGCGCAGGCGGUUUAUUAAGUCUAAGAUUAAAGCCCGGAGCUUAACUCCGGUUCGUCUUAGAAACUGGUAGACUUGAGUAUGGUAGAGGCAAAUGGAAUUCCUAGUGUAGCGGUGGAAUGCGUAGAUAUUAGGAGGAACACCAGUGGCGAAGGCGAUUUGCUGGGCCAUUACUGACGCUCAUGCACGAAAGCGUGGGGAGCAAAUAGG